AUGAUGGUGGUGAUUGUGGUGGUGGUGAUGAUGGUGGUGAUUGUGGUGGUGGUGAUUGUGGUGGGGGUGAUGAUGGUGGUGAUUGUGGUGGUGGUAAUGAUGGUGGUGAUUGUGAUGGUGAUGAUGGUGGUGGUGAUUGUGGUGGUGGUGAUGAUGGUGGUGAUUGUGAUGGUGGUGAUGAUGGUGGUGGUGAUGAUGGUGGUGAUGAUGGUGGUGAUUGUGGUGGUGGUGGUGAUGAUGGUGGUGAUUGAGAGGAUUGUGGCCUGGGUUGUGCUGGCACCAGAGCCCGGCUGUGUGGGUUUACACAGUCACUGGACACCCGGCUCGAGGGCGAAGUCCUCGGGUGCUGCUUGGCAGGGGUAUUGCCGGGAGGUAGCCCAGGCACUGCUGAAUCUCAGCCUGGAGAGCCUCAUGCCUCGGCGGGAGGGGUCCCAUGUGCAGACCCUGCUGGCCUCCGGAGAGACCCCUGACCGGCCUCCCAUCCUCUCCCCAGGGCAGAGCGGCUUGGGUAAAUCCACCUUAAUCAACACCCUCUUCAAAUCCAAAAUCAGCCGGAAGUCGGUGCAGCCCACCUCGGAGGAGCGUAUCCCCAAGACCAUCGAGAUCAAGUCCAUCACGCACGAUAUUGAGGAGAAAGGCGUCCGGAUGAAGCUGACAGUGAUUGACACACCAGGGUUCGGGGACCCACAUCAACAACGAGAACUGUUGGCAGCCCAUCAUGAAGUUCAUCAAUGACCAGUAUGAGAAAUAACUGCAGGAGGAGGUCAACAUCAACCGCAAGAAGCGCAUCCCGGACACCCGCGUCCACUGCUGCCUCUACUUCAUCCCAGCCACCGGCCACUCCCUCAGGCCCCUGGACAUCGAGUUUAUGAAACGCCUGAGCAAGGUGGUCAACAUCGUCCCUGUCAUCUCCAAGGCUGACACACUCACCCUGGAGGAGAGGGUCCACUUCAAACAGCGGAUCACCGCGGACCUGCUGUCCAACGGCAUCGACGUGUACCCCCAAAAGGAGUUUGACGAGGACUCAGAGGACCGGCUGGUGAAUGAGAAGUUCCGGGAGAUGAUCCCGUUUGCUGUGGUGGGCAGUGACCACGAGUACCAGGUCAACGGCAAGAGGAUCCUUGGGAGGAAGACCAAGUGGGGCACCAUUGAAGUUGAAAACACCACACACUGUGAGUUUGCCUACCUGCGGGACCUUCUCAUCAGGACGCACAUGCAGAACAUCAAGGAUAUCACCAGCAGCAUCCACUUCGAGGCCUACCGCGUGAAGCGCCUCAACGAGGGCAGCAGCGCCAUGGCCAACGGCGUGGAGGAGAAGGAGCCAGAAGCCCCGGAGAUGUAGACGCCGCCCUGCCCACCCCCGGGAUCCUGCCCCCAAGUCUUUUCCAUCCCCCCCAGGCCCUCCCACUGCCCCAUUUUAUUUUAUAUUAUUUUCUCCAUUUGUCAUCAUUCCCCAUCCCUUCCACACGCUGCCAGGAAACAAGGGAAGGGGCCUCCCUCCGAGUGAGUCAGUGAUGAGCCCGCAGCCUCCCCCAGGUUGUGGGGAGGCUGCGCUGGAGCCAGAAGCAGGGGUGAGAGCACCCACUGAAUUGAUGUGACCCUCCGUCCCCAGGCCUGGCUCCCCGAGGGCUCAGAAGAGCAGCUUCGGUGUGCAGAUCAUCCGUCUGCGUGGGAUUCUCAGUGCCGGAGGCCUUGGGGUGGGGGCCAGGCCUUGCACACGCAGAGGGGACCAGUGGGCUGCAUGAUCCCCUCCAUCCCCAUCGGCCCUGUCCCCUGGAGUGUGUCAGAGCCCAGGGGAGAAUGCAGCCCACCAGGGUCACCUGGACCUCCUGACCGCCACAUGGCGUGGCCAUCACUCAGCCCCCACCCCUGCCCUGCUCCUAAGGGUAGAAAAUUCCAGGACCCCCUUUCACCGACUGCCCAGCCACUCCAAGCCCCCUGGCAGCUGCCCCUCCUGGAGCAGAAAGUGCCUUUAUCUCAGCCAUCCGCAGGCUGCUCAGCCAGAUGCGGGGACAGGCUGGAAUGAGGGAGGUGUCUUCAUCUCCCUGCCAUCCCCCUCUCACGCCACCCCCUCCCACCGGGCUGCAGGUGCUGCUGAUGCGCUGGGAUCUGAUUGAGGAUAAAAAGGAAGGAGAGAUGACCCCUACCCCCUCAUCCCCCAGUUUUGAAAAGGUCCAAGCAAGUGAGUCUGGUGGAGGAGCUGAGGGAGGGAGCCAUGGAAGGUGCCAGAAGGAAGGUUGGCGGGGGCACAUGUGGGCCGUGGCUUGGGCUGGUCAGAGUGGCCUGAGCUGCCCGGUGCCUGCCCCGCCCAAGUGACCAGGGAAGUGUGUGUGUGUCCAUGUGUAUGCGUGUCCGUCUGUCUGUCUAGUGUCUGGGUUUGGCCCAAGACUGGGCUGUGGUUACAUUAAUGCCCAGCCAGCCACCCCCACCACUCACCCCUCCUGGCCCAGGCCUUACUGACUCUGUGACCUGGGGAGGUGGGAGGCCAGGCGAACCUGACUCUGUUGUCCUACCCCUGCCUGGGCCCUUCUCCUCAGAGCCCAUGGUAACGAACCCCUAGAAAAGAGAGACCGGGCGUCAGGGGUGCACAGUCCACAGUGAGCUGAAGAGUGAGGUUUCAUGGCAGCACGGCCCAGCCCCUCACCCUCCAUCCCCAUGAGGGGACCCGUGUGGGCUGUCUUUGCAGGGCACAGAUGACCAAAGUCCCUUCCUGCUUCCUGUUCUCUGUCUUGCUCCUGGGGAGAAAGAGGGACCCGAUGAGACUUCACACAGGUGCACACAUCACCGGGUGCAUCUGCAGGCACCGGGCUGGCUGCUUGCAGCCAGGAGAAGGUCAGCGAGAGGGAGUGUGAGUGUGUGUGCAUGGAAGUUGGGGCACUGGGCGUCUGACUCCCUCCCCACCCAAGAGAGAAAGGACCCCUCACCAUCCCCACUGGCGAGACAGUUUACUUGCCAACUUGCCAUGUUUUUGCCAAAACCAAGAUUUUGAAGGAAAUGAGUGGCCAGUGCCAGGGCCCAGGCCAUGUGGCCCGCCCAGCCUCAAUGUCACUUGGUGGCGGGGUGGGGUGGGGGGUGGGCAGCAGCAUCCCAGCCUUGAGAUGCUUCACUUUCCUUUUCUGUAACCAGACUUCGAAAAAUCGUUCGUUUCUUCAGGCUCUGUUCCUCAAUGGCCUUUUGCUACGUGCCUCCCGAGAAAUUUGUCUCUUUUUGUAUAAAUGACAAAGUAUUGAAAAUGUAUUUCCUGAAAUAAAUGUUUCAAAUGCAGAAACCCA